rnacentral:rRNA from 1 species
CCGGGCUUCGGCCUGGUUAUUCAUAACCCUUUGUUGUCCGACUCUGUUGCCUCCGGGGCGACCCUGCCUUCGGGCGGGGGCUCCGGGUGGACACUUCAAACUCUUGCGUAACUUUGCAGUCUGAGUAAACUUAAUUAAUAAAUUAAAACUUUUAACAACGGAUCUCUUGGUUCUGGCAUCGAUGAAGAACGCAGCGAAAUGCGAUAAGUAAUGUGAAUUGCAGAAUUCAGUGAAUCAUCGAAUCUUUGAACGCACAUUGCGCCCCCUGGUAUUCCGGGGGGCAUGCCUGUUCGAGCGUCAUUUCACCACUCAAGCCUCGCUUGGUAUUGGGCAACGCGGUCCGCCGCGUGCCUCAAAUCGUCCGGCUGGGUCUUCUGUCCCCUAAGCGUUGUGGAAACUAUUCGCUAAAGGGUGUUCGGGAGGCUACGCCGUAAAACAACCCCAUUUCUAAGGUUGACCUCGGAUCAGGUAGGGAUACCCGCUGAACUUAAGCAUAUCAA